GACUCUUAGCGGUGGAUCACUCAGCUUGUGCACUGAUGAAGAAUGCAGCUAGCUGUGAGAAUUAAUGUGAAUUGCAGGACACAUUAAUCAUGGACACUUCAAACGCACUUGCGGCCCUGGGUUCCUCCUGGGGUUACGCCUAUCUGAGUGUCG
rnacentral:rRNA from 1 species